rnacentral:rRNA from 1 species
GCAACCCCAGGUCAGUUGAGGCCACCCGCUGAGUUUAA